GACGAACGCUGGCGGCGUGCUUAACACAUGCAAGUCGAGCGGUAAGGCCCUUCGGGUACGACGAGCGGCGAACGGGUGAGUAACACGUGGGUGACCUGCCUCUAGCUCUGGGAUAAGCCUGGGAAACUGGGUCUAAUACCGGAUAUGACUCCACGGCGCAUGUUGUGGGGUGGAAAGCCUUGUGUGGCUAGAGAUGGGCCCGCGGCCUAUCAGCUUGUUGGUGGGGUGAUGGCCUACCAAGGCGACGACGGGUAGCCGGCCUGAGAGGGCGACCGGCCACACUGGGACUGAGACACGGCCCAGACUCCUACGGGAGGCAGCAGUGGGGAAUCUUGCGCAAUGGGCGAAAGCCUGACGCAGCGACG
rnacentral:rRNA from 1 species